GUGGAAAGGGCCUAGGCUUCAGAGUCAGAGGUCAUGGGUUCGAAUCCCGGCUCUGCCACUUGUCAGCUGUGUGACUGGGGGCGAGUCGCUUAACUUCUCUGUGUCUCAGUUACCUCAUCUGGAAAAUGGGGAUUAACUGUGAGCCUCACGUGGGACAACCUGAUUACCCUGUAUCUCCCCCAGCGCUUAGAACGGUGCGUCUGCACGUAGUAAGCACUUAGCAAAUACCAACAUCAUUAUUAUCGUUAAGUGGUAGAGUCAGAAUUCGAACCCAUGACCUCUGACUCCCAAGCCCGGGCUCUUUCCACUGAGCUACGGAUAAUACACGUCCGAGCCCCUCAGACGGCAUCGAUUUAGGUCAAGAGGCGAUUCUUUGGGUGGGGGAGAAGGAAGCGACUGCUUUGGAUACCAGAUAUCUGAUUUCCUUUCGGUUAAAAUAGAAUUUUGGCAGAUGAACUCAUUAUGGCUGGCAGCCUCUCUGGGUCGGAGGAAACCCAGCCAAACGGAAGUACAGUAGCCAUCGCGUAGUCCUGCGCUCUCGCAACCUCCGAGGGCUCGAUCACCUUUCCGAUCGCAGUAGGGAGACGCCGUAACUAGCCCCAUCCGCUCUGAGAGCUUGCGGAACGCCCUCCCUCGCCGCCUCCUCCCAACCCGGAUCCUAAAGACGUUGAGCCCACUUGUCCAGGAGCCCCCCCACCCCUCUGGAAAGGGAAGGGGUCGACGAGGAAGGUCAGUAGCCGAGCACCGUUACCGCCCGGCUUCGCGGCUAAAAUAAGGGAAAGAGAAGAAAACGGAGCGAAUUCAGAUGGCGCACAGCCGAGAAAUCUUUAGGUGGACACCCUGAUUAUUGAGCUGCUGUAAUCACGGGCUUUAUCCCCUCCUCUCUGGCUAGAAGGACACAAAAUCCCAGUGAAAGGAAACAGAUGUGGCCGCUUACGGCAUUUCCAAAGGAAGCUGCAGUAAAAUACGAAACGCUGCUGUAUAAAAGGUCGAUGUGUCAGCGAGAUGUUCCGAUACUGUUUGCAUCUGCCGGCUAUGAGGUACCUGAGGCACAGAGAAGUUAGGGGACACGAUAUUGGAGGAGUCUUUUCUGAGCCUCUUCAAAUCCUGAGACGACUCCCCGCCUAAUACGAUGUCACGCCCACAGCGAGAACUCAGGUGGUAAAGGAGAUUUCAUCUCUUCACAAAAUUCGGCGGCUCUUCUGGGAAACUGAGCACAGGUGGAGCCUAGGGGAACAGCGGGCGUUAUAAUAAUAUCUCGAUCAAUAAAGCAAUCAAUUGUAUUUAUUAAGCUCAUACUGUGUGGAGAGCACUGCACCAAAGCAUUUGGGAGAGUUUGUUACAGUAGAGUUGAUAAAUAGACUCUCUGCCCUCAAGAAACUUAUGACCUAGUGGAUUUUAUAGCAGUUUUUGCUCCUAAACCAUUUUCAGGAAACUAAGGAAAGUUUUGUCUUUUAAGGUAGGGAGAGAUAAGGAUCAUUAUCCACUCGUCGCAGUCCAAAUGACCCCCAGGGCCUAAUCGGAGAAGCAGCGUGGCU
rnacentral:lncRNA from 1 species